rnacentral:rRNA from 1 species
UCCGGAGGGGGCAAGCGUUAUUCGGAAUUAUUGGGCGUAAAGGGCGCGUAGGCGGCUAGAUGUGUCAAAGGGGAAAUCCCUCGGCUCAACUGAGGAACUGCCUUUGAAACUGUCUGGCUUGAGGCCGGGAGAGGGUAGCGGAAUUCCCAGUGUAGCGGUGAAAUGCGUAGAUAUUGGGAGGAACACCAGUGGCGAAGGCGGCUACCUGGACCGGUUCUGACGCUGAGGCGCGAAAGCGUGGGUAGCAAACAGG